AGAGAGAGACAUGCGCGCAUAUCAAUAAGCGGAGGAAAAGAAACUAACAAGGAUUCCCUUAGUAACGGCGAGUGAAGCGGGAAGAGCUCAAAUUUGAAAUCUUCAAGGUUUUACCUUGACGAAUUGUAGUUUAAAGAAGUGUUUUCUGCUGAAGUUUUGGUAAAAGUUCUUUGGAAUAGGACAUCAUAGAGGGUGAGAAUCCCGUAUUUGACCAUUAUUUUCAGCUUUGUGAUACACUUUCAAAGAGUCGGAUUGUUUGGGAAUGCAGUCCAAAAUGGGUGGUAAAUUUCAUCUAAAGCUAAAUAUUGGCGAGAGACCGAUAGCGAACAAGUACCGUGAGGGAAAGAUGAAAAGAACUUUGAAAAGAGAGUUAAACAGUACGUGAAAUUGUCAAAAGGGAAGCGUUUGACACCAGUGUUGUUUUCUCGAAAAUCAAUUAAAAAUGGCUCGAUUUUGUAUUGCUUGAGACCUUAAAAGCUCACUGUACAUUUUUCGUGUCUUUUUUAAUGCACUUUUCGUUUAACAAGUCAACAUCAGUUUCUUUUGUUGUAAAAGGGUCAUUGGAAGGUGGCUUUCUUUCGGAGAAAGUGUUUAUAGCCUUUGGCCUCUGCAAUCGGAGAGACUGAGGUCUGCAGCGUAGACUCUUCGGGGUUAGAUACAUUUGUGCUAAGUUAUAGCUUUUUAUAGACAACUUGUUGACUAUAAUUAGUCUUGUAGCUUACUCGCUUAUGCUAUUUUACCUACGCUUAGGAUGUUGAAGAUGUAGCACAUCAU
rnacentral:rRNA from 1 species